rnacentral:ncRNA from 1 species
UCAAUAUCGAACAGACAAAGGAAGAGUAGGCCGCGGUGGGGCCCAAGAGAGUUGACGGCUGUUGCGAGUCAACCAAAGCCGCGGGUGAACUGGCCUUUGCGAUGCACGACUGAAAUCCAGUAGGUCGUACCGGUACUGGCCGUUAUCCAGACAAAGCGCUGCGCAAGCAGAACUUAGGUGGUACCGCGGGGAACCCCGUCCUAAUG